UACGUAGGGGGCAAGCGUUGUCCGGAAUCAUUGGGCGUAAAGAGCGUGUAGGCGGCCAGAUAAGUCCGCUGUGAAAACUCGAGGCUCAACUUCGAGCUGUCGGUGGAAACUAUUUGGCUAGAGUCCGGAAGAGGAGAGUGGAAUUCCUGGUGUAGCGGUGAAAUGCGCAGAUAUCAGGAGGAACACCGAUGGCGAAGGCAGGUCACUGGGCCGCAACUCACGCUGAGGAGCGAAAGCAUGGGGAGCGAACAGG
rnacentral:rRNA from 1 species